rnacentral:rRNA from 1 species
UACGGAGGGUGCAAGCGUUAUCCGGAUUUACUGGGUUUAAAGGGUGCGCAGGCGGAUAUGUAAGUCAGUGGUGAAAUCUCUGGGCUUAACCCGGAAAUUGCCAUUGAUACUAUAUAUCUUGAAUGUUGUGGAGGUAAGCGGAAUAUGUCAUGUAGCGGUGAAAUGCUUAGAUAUGACAUAGAACACCUAUUGCGAAGGCAGCUUACUACGCAGAUAUUGACGCUCAUGCACGAAAGCGUGGGGAUCAAACAGGA